CAUUCAAUCAUUCAUUACAAAUAUAAUUUCACUAAAACUCAACCACCGAACAACGCAGUUUUAAUAAUGCUAAGCAAGUGAUAUUGUGCCUCCGGAUAUACGAGAUACAUAAAUUAAACACGCUUAGUAUGUGCAGAGUAGACAUCCCUUACAAGGCAAAACGCAUCGGUAAUUUUAUCCCUGAGUAAAUAAACUUCGAAUAUAGCUUUAAAACCAAGCAAAAAUAUGGCGUAGAAAAAGUAUUACAUGUUGUAAUUGAAGCUUUGGCAAUACUCGCUCCAGCCGACUACGCUGGACCCCAGCCAGGAAUGAAGAAAAUAAUCCAAAUUUAACCCAUUAAUAUUUGAGGCCUUUGGAACUACAUUCACCUGCAAAGUCGUCAAAUAUUUCUUCAAAGCACGUUCCCUAUGGCACGUACGGCACAGAAUACAGAGAGAACCGAAGUCCCUUCGUAGACCCAGAGGCUCCAAACGAUUCGACUAUGGGCUACGGUAGUCACAUAAUACCAGGAGUAGGUGGAGAGUAUCUUAACUUAGUAUAGAGAAAAAGAGAGAGAGAGGAUAUAAAUGAUAUAUACUUUAUUAAACACGAAAACAGAAUUAACAUGGAUCAACAGGUAGCUUCGUAUAUUUUAUUGAUUUAGAAAAGAAGGUCCAUAAGCGUCCUUAAAAUAAAAACAUAUAAUAUUAUCUCCAUUAUUACAUUCAAUACAUCGUAUUAAUUAAACACGUAAUAAAUUGUACUAUUAAAUUCGUAUUCUUUCACUGAA